rnacentral:tRNA from 1 species
GGGCUUGUAGCUCAGUGGACUAAGAGCACGCGUUUCCGAAGCGCGAAGUCGAGGGUUCGAAUCCCUCCUUGCCCA